CUUUAUUCCCCAACCUUACCACCAACCAUUCUCAGUGACUUAGGCGGCAGUGAGCUUGAGCAGCGCGGGCGGAUAUGGCCAGUUAUCAUAGCGAGGCAUCUUCCGCUUCUUCCCGUCGCACAUCAGCCUCGCCCAUCCCGCAUCGCAUGGGGCCAAUGGAGUAUCAACCUACGGUGCUGUGCAGAUGCAGAGCGAAGGCGGCACGAUGGAUCUCGUGGAGCCGUGACAACCCGGGGCGACGAUACUACAAAUGUCGCAAUGCUCGAGGCCAACGAGCAGUUUUAUCAGAGAUCUGUUGAAUGAUUUGCGCGAUGCGGUGUGGUCACUAAGGAGGGAGAAGGAUGAACUUUUUGUUGCUGUUAGGGAAGGGCAAGCCAUGGCUCGUGAUGUAGAUACAGCUAGGAGGGAGUUGGCAGCGUUGAAGAAGCAUGUUGUUGAGACCGAUGCAAAAUUGGUUCUGUUGAAAGAACAAAACCGUAGGCUAGAGAAGGAUAGGUGCGUGCUUUUUUUUUGUUUUACUGGCAAUCUGUGGUCUGUUUGUCAUGGUUUGGGUGAUGAACUGAGUAGUAUCAGUGAAUGUUAUUAUGAUGGAAGGUACUAAGAAUGUCAGCUGAGAUGUAUGAGUGAAUGUUGAUGUAAGGUAGCAAGAAUGGCUUGUAAUAUGUUUGAAUGAAUGGAAUUAUCUUUUGUAGUA